AUGAAACCUAAGAGACCGUGAGGUCGGCACUGAUGAUACUGAGGAAUCCAUGAAGCCACUUAAAUUUUCCUCUGGGCUCAAGGUUUGUCCAUUAAGUAGCGCAUGGUGACACAACAAAUUCUGAUGCGACUUUUUCAGUCUGACACAAACUCAUACCAACCUAAGAAUAUCACGACAUAUUAGAUUACGGGCCCUUUUAAUGCUCUAACGAACUCUGUUAUUUACUUAACCUGAACUUGUGAUAUUUUAUACGCAGAAAUUUGUAGAAACGCAUUGGAAUAGAAAAUGACAGACAGGGGGUGCAUACGUACCCGGAUUUGAUUUCCAAUUAACCCGGCUAAACCGACUGAAAUCUAGUCACCGCUCUGCGCAUGGGCAUUUACCGGAACCAGUCCGUUCUGGAGGUAGACGUGAAUGAUGUUAUCUGGUUCUUGUUGAGUUUCUCCAACACGUUUACAAAUCACCGGUCUGCGCAUUGGCAUUUACCGGAACAAGUCCGUGCUGGAGGUAGACUUGAAUGAUGUUAUCCGGUCCAUGUCGAGUUUCUCCAACACGUUUACAAAUCACCGCCCUGCGCAUGGGCAUUUACCGGAACCAGUCCGUGCUGGAGGUAGAAGUGAAUGAUGUUAUCCGGUUCUUGUAGAGUUUCUGCAACACGUUUACAAAUGGCGAUCGGAAGUGACGGCGGACGCUGGGAUAUGAAAAGAACACUGCGGAUAUAGACUCUCUGUAUUUUUAUGAAAAUAUAUUUAUAUUUUCUGUUGGAAACGGAAAACCUUAAAGCAUCUACAUGUUUUUUCAUCUUUUAAAUAAAAAUAUAGUUUUUCAAAGAUAUACGUGAUUAUUUUAUAAAUGCUGUGUUUUGUACAAAAAUACAAUAAAAUUAAACUGUGAAAAAGACCCAUAAAACUAUACAAUUACAAACUUCAUAAAAAUAAAGAUUGUUAUUGUAUAUAUUUAUUUCUUUUGAUUAUUUAAUAUGUUAAGAAGUGCAUUUUAAAUGUAUUUUGACAGUACUAUAUGCAUAAAUACAGAGGAAUUAUUCAAGAUUCGAGAUUCGAAACACGGCAUUAGAAAUACAUAUAUGUAGGGGAUUCGAGGUUCAAGAUUCAGUAUCUAAGUUACUAAAUAAAGAUCAUUUGUACACGCCCUUCCAUACAAAUAAAUCCUAUUUUAACUCCAGCUAAAUGAUUUUUUAAGGAAUCAUUCAUUGAGUAUUGCUUGGUCACAAUUGUGGUCGGGGCGUUG